GUGCCGGCUUUGGUAGCACAAAUACUAAAAUGAGAAUGAUAUAGGAAGAUCAGCAUGGCACCUGCACAAGGGGGACAUACAGAUUCGGGAAGUGUUCCACACUUGA
ensembl:snRNA U6 U6 spliceosomal RNA